UACGUAGGGUGCGAGCGUUAAUCGGAAUUACUGGGCGUAAAGCGUGCGCAGGCGGUCCGCAAAGUCUGAUGUGAAAACCCCGGGCUCAACCUGGGAACUGCAUUGGAAACUAACGGGCUCGAGUGUGGCAGAGGGGGGUGGAAGUUCCACGUGUAGCAGUGAAAUGCGUAGAGAUGUGGAGGAACACCGAUGGCGAAGGCAGCCCCCUGGGCUAACACUGACGCUCAGGCACGAAAGCGUGGGGAGCAAACAGG
rnacentral:rRNA from 1 species